rnacentral:lncRNA from 1 species
CCUUUUCCUAGCUCAUCCUGGCUCAAAAAGCACCCACACUGAGCACCUUGCAACCCCAACUCCUGCCCGCCAGAGAACAAACCCCCUUUGACUGUAAUUUUCCUUUACCUACCCAAAUCCUAUAAAACAGCCCCACCCCUAUCUGCCUUUGCUGACUCUCUUUUCGGACUCAGCCCGCCUGCACCCAGGUGAAAUAAACAGCUUUAUUGCUCACACAAA